GUAACAAGGUUUCCGUAGGUGAACCUGCGGAAGGAUCAUUAAUUAUGUUAAAGCGCCUUACCUUAGGGUUUCCUCUGGGGUAAGUGAUUGCUUCUACACUGUGAAAAUUUGGCUGAGAGACUCAGACUGGUCAUGGGUAGACCUAUCUGGGGUUUGAUCGAUGCCACUCCUGGUUUCAGGAGUACCCUUCAUAAUAAACCUAGAAAUUCAGUAUUAUAAAGUUUAAUAAAAAACAACUUUUAACAAUGGAUCUCUUGGUUCUCGCAUCGAUGAAGAACGUAGCAAAGUGCGAUAACUAGUGUGAAUUGCAUAUUCAGUGAAUCAUCGAGUCUUUGAACGCAGCUUGCACUCUAUGGUUUUUCUAUAGAGUACGCCUGCUUCAGUAUCAUCACAAACCCACACAUAACAUUUGUUUAUGUGGUGAUGGGUCGCAUCGCUGUUUUAUUACAGUGAGCACCUAAAAUGUGUGUGAUUUUCUGUCUGGCUUGCUAGGCAGGAAUAUUACGCUGGUCUCAGGAUCUUUUUUUUUGGUUCGCCCAGGAAGUAAAGUACAAGAGUAUAAUCCAGUAACUUUCAAACUAUGAUCUGAAGUCAGGUGGGAUUACCCGCUGAACCUAAGCAUAUCA
rnacentral:misc_RNA from 1 species